CCUACGGGGGGCAGCAGUGGGGAAUAUUGCACAAUGGGGGAAACCCUGAUGCAGCGAUGCCGCGUGGAGGAAGAAGGUUUUCGGAUUGUAAACUCCUGUCUUAAAGGACGAAAAUGACGGUACUUUAGGAGGAAGCUCCGGCUAACUACGUGCCAGCAGCCGCGGUAAUACGUAGGGAGCGAGCGUUGUCCGGAAUUACUGGGUGUAAAGGGAGCGUAGGCGGGAUUUUAAGUCAGAUGUGAAAUACGUGGGCUCAACCUACGGGCUGCAUUUGAAACUGAAAUUCUUGAGUGAAGUAGAGGCAAGCGGAAUUCCUGGUGUAGCGGUGAAAUGCGUAGAUAUCAGGAGGAACACCGGUGGCGAAGGCGGCUUGCUGGGCUUUAACUGACGCUGAGGCUCGAAAGCGUGGGUAGCAAACAGGAUUAGAUACCCGAGUAG
rnacentral:rRNA from 1 species